rnacentral:snoRNA from 1 species
ACGAUCUUACUUGAACAGGAUUUGUUCUAUAGGAUUGUAUUACUGUGUCCUUGAUUUCUAAGGAGACCAGAACAUACGUCUGGUGGAUGAACCAUGACCGUGUGAUCAGAGCGUGAUUAAUGGCUAGGAUGAUCUCGUGUGCGAGACUUCAACCUACGCUGUGGAGGAUCGUUCUUGGUCAGUUUCACCUGACCGUCUUGUUAUUUGCAAAAC